UACAGAGGUCCCAAGCGUUGUUCGGAUUCACUGGGCGUAAAGGGUGCGUAGGCGGUCGGGUAAGUCUGAUGUGAAAUCUCCAAGCUUAACUUGGAAAUGGCAUCGGAUACUAUUCGGCUCGAGGAAUGGAGGGGAGACUGGAAUACUUGGUGUAGCAGUGAAAUGCGUAGAUAUCAAAGUGGAACACCAGUGGCGAAGGCGAGUCUCUGGACAUUUCCUGACGCUGAGGCACGAAAGCCAGGGGAGCAAACGGG
rnacentral:rRNA from 1 species